rnacentral:rRNA from 1 species
CCAAAAACAUCACCUCUAGCAUUACUAGUAUUAGAGGCACUGCCUGCCCAGUGACACGAGUUAAACGGCCGCGGUAUUCUGACCGUGCAAAGGUAGCAUAAUCAUUUGUUCUAUAAAUAAGGACUUGUAUGAAUGGCCACACGAGGGUUUUACUGUCUCUUACUUCCAAUCGGUGAAAUUGACCUUCCCGUGAAGAGGCGGGAAUAUAACAAUAAGACGAGAAGACCCUAUGGAGCUUUAAUUAACUAACCCAAUAGAAUCUACUCAAUUAACCAACAUGGGACAAAGUAAUUCUACAGUGGGACAGCAAUUUAGGUUGGGGCGACCUCGGAGUAUAACACAACCCCCGAGUGAUAUAAAUCUAGACAUACCUGUCAAAACGAACUAUCAUAAAUUGAUCCAAAAAUUUUUGAUCAACGGAACAAGUUACCCUAGGGAUAACAGCGCAAUCCUAUUCAAGAGUUCAUAUCGACAAUAGGGUUUACGACCUCGAUGUUGGAUCAGGACAUCCCAAUGGUGCAGCAGCUAUUAAAGGUUCGUUUGUUCAACGAUUAAAGUCCUACGUGAUCUGAGUUCAGACCGGAGUAAUCCAGGUCGGUUUCUAUCUAUUAACCAGUCUCUCCCAGUACGAAAGGACAAGAGAGACAAGGCCCACUUCGACGAAGCGCCUUAGGACUAAUAUAUGACAUAAUCUUAAUAUAACCAGUUCAACUACACUAUUCAACCCGAGAACAGGGUUU